GCCUCUUUUGUACAGUAGGUAGUACGUCAGUCUCAUAAUCUGAAGGUCGUGAGUUCAAACCUCACACGAGGCA